ACCAAUUUGAAGACCCAUAAAGGGCCUCCAAACCGGUUCCGUGCACAUCUCUAGUUUUGUUCUCCACUACUACCAUGGAUACUGAGGCAUUAAGUCAAUAGCUGCAUUCACACGUAACAUGAAACCAGAGUGUGCCAAACUCACAGUAGACAUCCGUCCAACCGCAGCUCGGCAAUCUCCAGUUUCAGAGUAGGCGAGCCACUCCCUCUUCCUGGUCUGCCGAGGUCAUAUCCCAGGAAGCUCCAUAGCUCUAGUGUUGCCAGCAGGGGCGUAACUAUAAUAGGGCAAGGGGAGACAGUUGUCUGGAGGCCCACUGCCUUGGGGGGCCCCCCCAACAUAAGUCACAUGACUGACUCCCCCAGCCGUGCACCUGCCCGGGCUUCCUUCAGCUGUAUUCCUCCUCCAAAAUUGAGUCACCAUACCUAAAGAAGAACAUUGUAGAACUGGAAAAGGUGCAUAAGAGGGCAACCAAGAUGAUCAGGGGCCUGGAGCACCUUCCUUAUGAGGCAAGGAUACAACACUUGGGGUUUUUUAUUUUAGGAAAAAAAGACGACUGCAAGGAGACAUGAGAGAGGUCUAUAAAAUCAUGCAUGGUGUGGAGAAAGUGGAAAGAAUUUGUUGUCCCUCUUGCAUAACACUAGAACCAGGGGUCAUCCCAUGAAAUUAAUUGCCAGGAAAUUUAGACCCAACAAACAGAAGUACUUUUUCACACAACAUAUAAUCAACUUGUGGAAUUAUCUGCCAUAAGCCAACAACCUGGAUGACUUUAAGAGGGGUUUGGAUAACUUCAUAGAGGAGAGGUCUAUCAACAGAUAUUAGUCUGAGGGCUAUAGACCACCACUAGGCUCAGAGGCAGGAUGCCUCUGAAUGCCAGUUGCAGGGGAGUAACAGCAGGAGAUGGGGUGUGCCCUCAACUCCUGCCUGUGGGCUUCCCAGCGGCAUCUGGUGGAUCACUGUGUGAAACAGGAUGCUGGACUAGAUGGGCCUUGGGCCUGAUCCAGCAGGACUGUUCUUAUGUUCUUACAGCAGUCUAAUAGGGGUGUCUGGUUUGUGGUACCACUGUGACUAUAUGUGCUUGUGAACUUAUUGAUUCUUUUGAUUCUUUAUUCAUUUAUUUUAGGAGAGCAAAGCACAUAGUGCCCAUCUUGCCACCCCAUCCCCUUUCUCUCCUGAUUGCCAGGAGGUGGAGGAAACAAGGGACACAGUGGGAAGAGGGUAUCCUGCCAUGUGACUUUUCCAUUUGACAGGCUUAGAAACUUGGUAUGGAACAUGGUGGUGCCCCUGUUUCUGGGCAAUGGCUUGAGUAGCUUGGAGAUGGGGUAAGGCAAGUGCUCGGAGAGGUGGCCAGUGAGAAGUGCUGCAGGGGUGGAGCGGGUGUGUUCCUGGGUGGGACUGGGCUGUCCUCUAUUUGAUUUUGAUUCCAAAAACUACCUGAAACCUCCAUUAUGUUACGGCAGUGUCUGCGUUCAGAUGGAAUGCUGCCACCCCCAAACCUCAGCUUGGAGUGGUGAAACUCACUACAAACCUUUAGUUCAGCAAGGGAAACUUCAGGUUGCUUUUGCCACGAAACCACGGUUUCAUGUAUUCGGACGUACAGGAAUUCCAACCUCUGCCCCAUUUAACUGAAGUUUUCGCAUUAUGUGCGAAUGGGGCCAAUAAGAUUGUGGGGGUUAGGUUCCUGGAGGCUUGAAUUAUCACAGAAAAAAUAGUUUAAAAAAAAGAAUUUUAAAGGGAGAAAUAAAAUGCCCUACCAUGCCCCGUAGGCGUUCAGCAACCCAAUUAUGCCUCCCCCAAGUCCAAGGUCCCAGUUUCCCCCCAAAAAACUGCAGGAAGAAUGCUAUUUUUACUUCAAAUGAGCCACAAAAUGACUCAUCAUAAAAUGGCAGCCAGAAAUUAUCUCCGAGGUUAUUUCUGACCAUCCUGACACCACAAAUACAUGGGUUUUAACCCUUUCUUAUCCAUGGAUAAUGAGGAUGGGUAACAAUUGGUGGGGUGCAGAUGUGCAGAACUGGUAGAGAAAAGAGGAGAGCUGGUCUUGUUGUGGUAGCAAACAUGACUUAUCCCCUUAGCUAAGCAGGGUCUGUCCUGGUUGCAUAUGAAUGGGAGGCUUGAUAUGUGAGCAGUGCAAGAUAUUCCCCUCAGGGGAUGGAGCUGCUCUGGGAAAAGCAGGAGGUUCCAAGUCCGCUCCCUGGCUUCUCCAAGAUAGGGCUGAGAGAAAUUCCUGCCUGCAAUCUUGGGAAAGCCACUGCCAGUCUAUGAAAACAAUACUGAGCUAGAUGGACCAAUGGUCUGACUCAGUAUAUGGCAGCUUCCUGUGUUCCUAUCAUAAAUGCUUCUCGGAAGGAGGCAAUUAUUAGACCACUUCUGAAGAAGCCUGCCUUGGAUCCCUCAGAGUUGAGUAACUACAGGCCUGUUUCCAACUUUCCAAGGCUGGGCAAGGUAAUUGAGAAGGGUGGUGGCCUCCCAGCUCCAGACAGUCUUGGAGGAAACCGAUUAUCUAGACCCAUUUCAGACUGACUUUGGGGCAGGUUAUGGGGUGGAGACUGCCUUGGUUGGCCUGAUGGAUGAUCUCCAACUGGCAAUUGACAGAGGAAGUGUGCCUCUGUUGGUCAUUUUGGACCUCUUGGCGGCUUUUGACACUUUUGACCACAGUAUCCUUCUUGAGCAUCUGAGGGGGUUGGGAGUGGGCAUUGCUUUGCAGUGGUUCCGCUCCUUCCUUUCAGGCAGGUUCCAAAUGGUGUCCCUUAGAAACUGUUGUUCUUCAAAAUCUGAAUUUUUGUAUGGUGUCCCUCAGGGCUCCAUAUUGUCUCGGAUGUUGUUUAACAUCUACAUAAAAUGGCUGGGAGAAAUCAUCAAGAGAUCUGGUGCAGGGUUCUAUCAGUAUGCUGAUGUCACCCAGAUCUAUUUCUCCAUGUCCACAUCAUCAGGAGAGGGCAUAACCUCCCUGAAUGCCUGCCUGGAGGCGGUAAUGGGCUGGAUGAGGGAUAACAAAUUGAGACUGAAUCCAGGUAAAUGGAGGUACUCAUUGUGUGGAAUCAAAACUCGGGAAAUGAGUUUGAUUUGCCUGUUCUGGAUGGGGCCACACUUCCCCAGAAGGAACAGGUACACGGUCUGGGGGUGCUUCUGGAUCCAAGUCUCCUCCUGGUGUCUCAGGUUGAGGCAGUGACCAGAGGUGCCUUUUAUCAGCUUCAGCUGAUAUGCCAGCUGUGUCAAUUUCUUGAGAUAAAUGACAGAAGAACAGUGGUACAUAUUCUGGUAAUCUCCAGACUGGAUUACUGCAAUGUGCUCUAUGUGGGGCUGCCUUUGUGUGUAGUCUGGAAACUACAGCUGGUCCAGAAUGUGGCAGCCAGUUUGGUCUCUGGGUCAUCUCUGAGAGACCAUAUUACUUCUGUAUUGAAGUAUCGGCACUGGCUGCCGAUAAGUUUCCGGGCAAAAUACAAAGUGUUGGUUAUAACCUUUAAAGCCCUAAGGUAUGUAAGAGAAUGUCUUCUUCAUCAUGAACCCCACUGCCCAUUGAAAUCAUCAGGAGAGGUCCGUUUGCAGUUGCCAGUGACUUGUCUGGUGGCUACUUGGGUAUGGGCCUUCUCCAUUACUUCUCCGAGGUUUUGGAAUGUUCUCCCUCCUGAAAUUAGAGCCUCCCCAUCUCUAACAACUUUUAAAAAAUCUUUAAAGACGCAUCUGUUCACCCAGGCUUUUAAUUAAAUAUGGUUUUAAUAGUUUUAACACUGUUUUAAAACUGUAAAUUGUAAUGUUUUAACUUUUUUGCUGUUGUUUAUUUCAACUAUUGUUUUAAUUUACCCUAAUGAUAUUUAUGUUCAGACUACAAAAGCAUCUACCCAGUUACAGCUCACACUCAUGCCCAUGAUGAGCUGCACCUUAAAACUAACAGAUCUAGCAUUCUCUUACUUCUCUCUGUGUGUAAAAAGAGUGGUUGGACUUCAUUCUUCAGAUUCCUGCUUAGAUGGUGCCUUCAUCCUUUGUUAGUUGAACUUACAGUCUAUGGAGGCAACAAGGUUACUGAAACUGAAGCAAACAGCUGAUAAGGGCAGUAAGACCUGGACAAAAGAGAUUUUUAAAAAAUGAACUUCUGUUUUACACAGUAUGUUCUCAGCUCUGAUGAGCUGAAGAAUGCUAUCUUGAAUGUGGCAAGGUAGCCAAUUAAAUACAAGAUCAAAUAAUUAGCCCCUUGGGAAGACAGGGGCUACAUUAAUAAUAUGAGGCGCUCACUAUGGUGUAGUUUUCUCAAAUCUAACGAUGAACUGUGACAUACCAGUUUGAACUGUUCCUUCAAGAAAGGCAUUCAUGGCCCUUCUCUUCCAAACAAUGGCCUCUGGAUUUGUGAAGGGGAAAGUAAAUGAAGAUUCCCAUGAAGGGAGUGAGUGACUGAGAGUAUAGUUUGUAGAUUAUUAAAACAGAAAUAAGAUGAGCAAGACGUUUCAGCUUAGACCUUCUUCAGCUGCUCUGAUGUUUUAGGAAGGGCAUGGUAGCCUUGUACAUAUACAUAUGCCUUGUCAAAUGAUCACCAGGCAAUAAAAGAAAGGUACAGCCCAAUAGCAAAUUCUGAACAUCUGAAAAAAGCUAUCAGCAAAGCUCCAUGUAUUGCUUUUUGUCAACCACCUAAUUUACAUAGACUAUUAGUGAGUGCAGUCCUAAAACCACCAAUCCGUAUUCCAGGAUCACACUGCUGUCAAUCUAGUGGCUGCGUUACUUGCACUUUUCUAAGGGAUACUAUCACCUUUAGCAGUCCUGCUACUAAGAGAGUCUAUUACAUCAGAAAAAACUUCACUUGUACUUCCACCAAUGUCAUUUAUAUUAUAGGAUGCAAACAUCCACACUGCCACAUGUAAUCUGUAGGCAAAACACGCAAAGACCAGAAGACACAUUUCAGGGACCACAAAUCUACCGUCAUAAAGAAAUUCACCUCAGGCAACCAUAGCCUCUCCAAUAUGGAAAUAUUUCCUAUUGAGCAACAUAUACAUUGUGAGAUGCUGGACAAAAGUGUGCAUAUAGACUUGAGACCUUGACACUCAUGGACUGAUCUUGGAGGGUCAUAUAUAAAACCACCUUACAUCUAAAAGCAACAUCUGGCCAUCAUUCUUGUAACCUGCCCUGGAACUCUGCUAACACAGCAUUCUUAACUCCUACCUUGUGAGCUGGAUGUGCUCACACAACCUUUUAAAAAAAGCAAUCUGUUGCUGAUGGUGUGAGCUGAAACAUUAAAUUAAAAGUUGGUUUUCUCUACCUCUAUUGUCAUCUGCUUGGGGCGAGGUGUCUGUGAAAGUGUUACUUUAAAAACAACAACAGAAAAGCAGAGUAUAAAUUAAAUUAAUGCAGGUCAAAUUGCUGUUUUCCCCCUGUAGAAAUAAGUGUGUUGUCCAAAAUGGUAUUGUCAGGGGACCAUUUUAUUUGAUGGUGUUUGGGGUAGAUGGUCAUUUUAUGUUUUUAAUAAACUGACUGGAUAAACAAAUUAUCCACAUUAUUCCCUGUAUAUUUUAUUAUUUCUAUUUCCUUUUAUUUUGUGAUGACCAAUGAUUAUAAGCAAAUAAACAAUGCUGAAACUAAA